UUGUUGCUCUUCUUGAGUAAGUUCUUCUUUCUCAAAGUUCCCAGGGGUAGUUACUUGGGUGAUUUGAAACAUCGUCAGGAUAUGUCCAGAUGCUGGAAAGGAGCAAGUUCAGCUCCUGGGUGUCUCUGUGUCAUCUUAAAUAGGGGGUCACGUGAACGUCUGCCUCGGGACUGCUGAGAGGAGCGCGAGCGUGAACCCAUCACACGGAGAGCUGUGUGUCUGCCGCAGACCGAGCCCCCAGUGACUGUUCUCAUCAUUACAAACUAUUCUCGUGCUAAUUCUUACUGACAGAGACUCUCCGUAUGUGCCGAUUAGUUUUGUGUCCCUCAGUAAAGUUGGUGGUUUUCUAUCUAAAAA